rfam:Populus trichocarpa isolate Nisqually-1 chromosome 18, whole genome shotgun sequence.
UCUAAAACUCAAGAUAUAGGCUGAACACUGAAUAGUGUCUAGGUUGUAGGACAGAUUUCGACUUCUCUGUGUUCCUAUAAUUUGAACUUGAAAACGACCUUUUUGAAUCUUGGACUCUUCAUGAAAGUUUUAAGCCUAUGUCUUAGCUUUCCAUC